GACGUAGGGCGCGAGCGUUGUCCGGAUUUAUUGGGCGUAAAGAGCUCGUAGGCGGCUUGUCGCGUCGACUGUGAAAUCCCGCGGCUCAACCGCGGGUCUGCAGUGGGUACGGGCAGACUAGAGUGCGGUAGGGGAGACUGGAAUUCCUGGUGUAGCGGUGAAAUGCGCAGAUAUCAGGAGGAACACCGGUGGCGAAGGCGGGUCUCUGGGCCGAAAUUGACGCUGAGGAGCGAAAGCGUGGGGAGCGAACAGG
rnacentral:rRNA from 1 species